UACGGAGGAUGCAAGCGUUAUCCGGAAUGAUUGGGCGUAAAGCGUCCGCAGGUGGCGAUGUAAGUCUGCUGUUAAAGAGUGAGGCUCAACCUCAUAAGAGCAGUGGAAACUACAUAGCUAGAGUGCGGUAGGGGCAGAGGGAAUUCCUGGUGUAGCGGUGAAAUGCGUAGAGAUCAGGAAGAACACCGGUGGCGAAGGCGGUUCUCUGGGCAUUACCUGACGCUGAGGAGCGAAAGUGUGGGGAGCGAACAGG
rnacentral:rRNA from 1 species